rnacentral:sRNA from 1 species
UCUAUGGCUUCAGCGGUAUCCUGAGGA